UACGAAGGGGGCUAGCGUUGUUCGGAAUUACUGGGCGUAAAGGGCGCGUAGGCGGCUGUGCAAGUCAGGUGUGAAAGCCCUGGGCUCAACCCAGGAUGUGCACUUGAUACUGCGCGGCUAGAGUGUCGGAGAGGAUGGUGGAAUUCCCAGUGUAGAGGUGAAAUUCGUAGAUAUUGGGAAGAACACCGGUGGCGAAGGCGACCAUCUGGACGACAACUGACGCUGAGGCGCGAAAGCGUGGGGAGCAAACAGGAUUAGAUACCCUGGUAGUCCACGCCGUAAACUAUGCGUGUUGGACGUUGGCGAGCCUAGCUCGUCGGUGUCGCAGCUAACGCGUUAAACACGCCGCCUGGGGAGUACGGCCGCAAGGUUAAA
rnacentral:rRNA from 1 species